rnacentral:rRNA from 1 species
UAGUCUGCAACUCGACUACAUGAAGCUGGAAUCGCUAGUAAUCGCAGAUCAGAAUGCUGCGGUGAAUACGUUCCCGGGUCUUGUACACACCGCCCGUCACACCAUGGGAGUCGGAAAUGCCCGAAGCCGGUGACCCAACCAAAAGGAGGGAGCCGUCGAAGGCAGGUCUGAUAACUGGGUGAAGUCGUAACAAGGUAAC